UGGUCCACAGCCCUCUCACAACCUGUUGUUAAACAGAUGUGUCGCCUUAGUGGCGCGAAAAUUUUCACGUAAUCGUGCUGCUCGUAUGAGGAUGUUUGCAAGUCCUUUCCAUUAUGUGGCAUAUCGCAGCUUUGUCAGCUGGUGCUGGGGCUACUUAGGACGACAUGUGAGGGUCGUCGACCCGUCUUGUGUGGUUCGCCGGAUACGCCAGCAGUUUCCUGAUCCAGGUGGACAGUACGUUGGAUUCUGGCCACCCCUUGACUAAAUCGAGACACAUGGCUUGGCUGUGCAUUCCCCUUAUUUUGACUUGGGAAAAGCGAUUCUGAAAACAGCCUCUCCUUGUGUUGUUGUGGCCUGUGGACGCUGUGCAUUCUCAUUGUAGUGCAUGUCUGAGAGAUAUAACCUGCAAUCAUUGAGGAAUAAGUAAAAUCAUUAGUAGACUGUAAUAAAUAUAACUUUACGUUAUUUUGAAGCCGUAAACCAUAUUACCUGAACAACAUCGCUAUA